rnacentral:lncRNA from 1 species
CCUGCCUGCCUCUUGUGGUCUUAGACUCUCUUUUCCAAACACAACAAACUCACCGCCACACACUGCCCUUCCUGCGACCUUGAAUCCAGAGACCACCAGGCCCAAAAGCCACCUGGAGGAUUUCACUACUGUCUCUGUGGUGGUCAGAAGGGCUGAGAGCAGAACGCAGGAGCCAGAAGACAAUGUCAGAACCCCUUGGAACUGGAGUUACAGACAGGUACAAUCUACCUUGUGGGUUCUGGAAACCAAACCUAGGUCCUCUGAGAGAGGAGUGGGUGCUCCUAACUGCAGAGCCGGCUCUCUAGGCCCUGGUUGGUGGUAUCUUCUUAUUAUUGUUACAUCAAUCCAUCCAUCCAUCCAUCCACCCGCCCACCCACUGUGUGUCCUUCUACCAUGUAGUUCCUGGGCCUUGAACUCAUAUCGCGAAGCUUAGAAGUGAGCGCCCUUACAGGCUGAGCCACCUCUGGAUCCUACUGAACAUAUUUAAACAGUGUGUAUCUGCACUGGAGUCUUGGUGAGGAGUCACAGAGAGCAGCUCCUGCCAUUCCGUGCCUGCAGAGCCUCCUGGCAGCUGCUGGGAACUGGCAAUCCCCACCUUCCUCCUGGGCUGGUUUGAUAUGGGGUAAGGCCAGCACCCAGAUGUCCUCUCCUUGGGAAAAGCCCUGAUCCGCCCAUGUGCCUGGAUGACAAAGCCACACACAGCAGCUGCAGGAUAACAGUUACAGCUCUUCAGUCUGGGGAGGGCUGUGACCGUCUGAGGUUUCACAACAGGUCUGAAGGACAAGCUGAAGUAUGAACCCAGAUGCCUAGACUUGAGGUUCAAAGCAGCCUCAAGGCUCCAGUCUCCCAGGGACUUAAAGCUGUUUCUUGUCAACAACAUUGCCCAGAAGCAGCUCGGAUGCAGACUGCACGUAUACAGGUGCCCAGGACAGUCAGAGUCUUUCACAAACAUGAGCGCCUAUGUCAUUGUCAAACAGCACCGCGGUCCCUUAGUGCCUAGAAAGGAUGUCAAACCUGGGGAUGACAGCCCAGAGUCCCUU